GCCUGUUGAAGUCAAAGAGCAUGUCUGUUUGCAAACAGCUGUAACAUUGGUACAUCGUGAUGAAAACAACGAGCUGUCAUGCUGAGACGUAGUUUUGAAUUGGGACCAAAGUUGGAAGGUUGAAACCCCAACAUACACAAAAAGAGAAGAGGAGAGAAGCUAUAUGGAGAAACCCGAAAUAAGAGAAGAGAGAACUGUCCUUUUAAAAAUGAGAAAUGUACAUUCCUAUAUGUAGCUGAGCCGGUGCUGGCCACUCAUGCUCAAACCAGUAACAAAAUUUGAUUGAGGAGCAGCAGGAGAGGCACCUGGAAGAGGGUGGUAGUGGUGAAAAUAAAGACAGCUGAGCCAUCCUAAGAAUAAGCAAUUCCAUCUCUUCCUAAAACCAUCUACUUCCUAACAAGUUCCACUGGUUUCAAUAGCACGUCUUUCCAAACAACUGUGGAUAGGAUCGGGGCUUGACUGGGAAAUAGAUUCUACUGAAAACUAAGGCUUAUUUAUGAGAAUUCCUUCCCCAAACACAUUUAGUGCCUGAUUUUGAAUGCAUUUAUUCAAAAGUAAGCCCUACUGAGUUCAAUAGGAGAUACUUACUAUGUGAGUACACUGGCCACUAUAGCAGAUUAAUAAAGUUCUUUGGAUUUAA